GGGGAAAAUAAAGAAAGCAUGCUUUUCUAGAGGUUUGUGUGUGGAACAAAGGCGCACUUCUAGGCGCAUAAGAUGCUAGGGUUGGAUUCUGGCGAGCCUUGAGCCUGAAGUGUGCCUGAGGGUCGCAUUUAAUAACUUUGGUAGGAUGGAUGAAAUGGAAGGGUGUGAUAAGUGUGAUAUGUGACCGUAGGAUCUCUAUAAAGUGAAAAGUAAGUUUCAUAGAACUAUGAUCGAACCAGCUAUGCAAUAUGUGAGUAAUUGUUGGGCAUAUAAGGUAAACAUACCCAUAAAAUAAGUGUAGCAAAUAUGUGGAUGUUUAGAUGGAUGUCUGCUAACACAAUAAUGGAUAUGAUGAUUGCAAGAGAGAGUGCAUGCAGCACACAUUGUGGAUAAAUUGAAAAAUAGUCGAUUAAAAUGGUUUGGUUAUGUUUAAGUAGAGUGUCGAAUGCUCCAAUACGAAAGAAGUGUGAUAAGUUGGUCAAUGAAGUAGUAAGAUGGGAAAGAGGAAGACCUAAAAUGACGUGAAGAAAAAUAGUAUCGAAAGAUUUACAGUUUUUGGGUAUUGAUGUGGAAUUUGUUUUCAAAAAGAUUGAAUGGCAAAAAAUUAUCUAUAUGAUCGAUCCCAACUAAUUUGGAAUUAAAGUUUAGUUGUUACUAUUGUUGUUGUUUGCAAGAGGAAGGAUCAAGGUUCAAAAGUAUUCAUUUUGGCGAUGAAAGAAGGGCUGGUUUGGUCUGAGAAAGAAAUAAGAAUAGUGUUGAAAAGUGAGAACCAUGGCAUUGUGCAUUAAAGAAGUGAGAAAAGAAGAAGAGAUCUCAUAGGUGUAGUUAUUAUUUGAAGUCUAUGAACAUAAUUGGAAUAAUCUGGUAUUUCUGGGUAAUUUUCUCCUCUUAAUUAUCUUACUUUGUUUUUGAAUACUUAAUAAGAAUAUUUGUAAUAGUAAUACUGCGAAAAGAUUUGCAUACCCAAUAAACUUAAAGACUGAUUGUGUUUAUUUUGGGAAAAUUGGAUUUCUUUCUUUUAUUUCUUCUUCUAAAGAAAAAUAGUUAUCCAUUUUGCAGUUUAUAUCCUAGUGGAAAAAUAAAGAACACGUGUUUAGCUACUAAAACUUAGAAUCUUCACACCUUUUCAUGGUUUGUAUUCAAGAUUAAAAGCAAGUUUUCCAUUUUCUUUUUUAAAAAAUUGAAAUAUGACUGCAAGUAGACUGUCAAAUCCUAUUUAAAAUUGGAAAGAUGAAUCUAAUAAAGUAUUUUUGUUUUAAACUGGUAAAUACAUUUAGAUCUAUUUUUUAUUUUCUUAGAAAUUUUCUUGGAAAAUAGCAAUUUUCUGGAAAUUAAAUAGCUAUUUUAAUUCUAAUUUGCUUGUGAUUCAAUCUAUAAAAUUAGUAGGUAAGCCUUAUGCACGUGUAAUAAAAAGAAUAUAGUUUCCAAAAUUAACAGGUUGUUUGAAAUAGCCAUUAAUUUUUUCCCUUCAUCAUUGCAUCUGUUAUUUUCUAGAAUUCUGUUGUUUGACCUUCACAGUCUGCACAAUUCUUAAGAGACUUACUUUGGCUGAACAAUUUGACAUAAUUAAUUUGUUUUAUGGUAGGUCUGAAAUUAUUUAGUUCUAGCAGAUACUGCAGGUCAGGUUGGGGAUAAAACAAUCUAUUCUAUUGGCCCCAGGUUGAAAGCUUUCUCGGAUUGGCUUCUAAAGAUAAUGGUAUCUGGUAAUUUGGAAGCCAUAUUCCCAGCUGCCACCCGUGAAUAUGCACAAUAUGUUGAGGAUUUGUGGAAUGAUGCAGCCAUCCAAGCCACAUAUAGCCGCAGGAAUGAAUUUGAAUCACUACCUAGAUCUGCCACUUAUUUCCUAGAACG
rnacentral:misc_RNA from 1 species